rnacentral:rRNA from 1 species
AAUAGAUACCCAGGUAGUCCACGCCGUAAACGGUGGGCACUAGGUGUGGGCGACAUUCCACGUCGUCCGUGCCGCAGCUAACGCAUUAAGUGCCCCGCCGUGGGGAGUACGGCCGCAAGGCUAAAACUCAAAGGAAUUGGACGGGGGCCCGCACAAGCGGCGGAGCAUGUGGCUUAAUUCGACGCAACGCGAAGAACCUUACCAAGGCUUGACAUACACCGGAAACGUCCAGAGAUGGGCGCCCCCUUGUGGUCGGUGUACAGGUGGUGCAUGGCUGUCGUCAGCUCGUGUCGUGAGAUGUUGGGUUAAGUCCCGCAACGAGCGCAACCCUUGUCCCGUGUUGCCAGCAGGCCCUUGUGGUGCUGGGGACUCACGGGAGACCGCCGGGGGUCAACGUCGGAGGAAGGUGGGGACGACGUCAAGUCAUCAUGCCCCUUAUGUCUUGGGCUGCACACGUGCUACAAUGGCUGGUACAAUGAGCUGCGAUACCGCGAGGUGGAGCGAAUCUCAAAAAGCCGGUCUCAGUUCGGAUUGGGGU